rnacentral:rRNA from 1 species
CCUACGGGGUGCACCAGUGGGGAAUUUUGGACAAUGGGCGAAAGCCUGAUCCAGCAAUGCCGCGUGCAGGAUGAAGGCCCUCGGGUUGUAAACUGCUUUUGUACGGAACGAAAAGACUCUCUCUAAUAAAGAGGGUUGAUGACGGUACCGUAAGAAUAAGCACCGGCUAACUACGUGCCAGCAGCCGCGGUAAUACGUAGGGUGCGAGCGUUAAUCGGAAUUACUGGGCGUAAAGCGUGCGCAGGCGGUUAUGUAAGACAGAGGUGAAAUCCCCGGGCUCAACCUGGGAACGGCCUUCGUGACUGCAUGGCUAGAGCGCGGCAGAGGGGGAUGGAAUUCCGCGUGUAGCAGUGAAAUGCGUAGAUAUGCGGAGGAACACCGAUGGCGAAGGUGAUCCCCUGGGCCUGCACUGACGCUCAUGCACGAAAGCGUGGGGAGCAAACAGGAUUAGAUACCCCCGUAGUC